CUGCAUCUCCAUGACAGGAAUGCAGACUGUCAGUCAGUCCGAGAGGCCCUGCCCUAAAAAAAGCAGAUGUAAAGCAAGCAGAAGCAGGAUUCAGGACAGCAAAUAUUCAGUUUUAUUUAAAGCCACAAUAAAAAAACAGGCUGAACGAUCAGAUCGAUUUCUCUUGUUCCAAUAAUUAAUGAAGUACUUUGUAAAAGCGCAGCAUGUUCGUCCUCAUCCCACUGUAUGUCUGAGUUUCAACUCUGAGCAUGUUACAUUAUGGAAAUAUGACAAAUGCAAAAUGCUUUGUCCUUAUGUUUAAGACGAGCUCAUUAAACAUCCGUUUUCCUUUUUUUCAUAUCCAAGUAAUAAAACAUCGUUCGCCAUCUGUUGUUUUGCACUAAUUAAUUGUUCAGCCACAAAGUGUCUCCGUUGCUCUGCAUUAAUAGAACAGACUGAUUCCCCUCAGCCGUUGGACUAGUCAUUCUUCUGUAUUUGUUUCCAUGGCAAAGCAGACAAUCAUUUACAAACUCAUAUGUUCGCUGGUUUAGCUUGAGCGGAGACACAAAUGUCUUGAUGUAUUAAUGAUGUGAUAUGUUUACAUUAAACACUAUUUAUGUUCUAUACUGUACUAUAAUAUGGAUGUUGGACUUUGUGUGAUAAAUAUAAACCUGUUGUUUGAAAUUAAACAACACAACAACAAGAAACCUUUUCAAAAGUAAGAAGCAUUUGAAAAAAAACAAACUUGUCAUAACUAAUUCUGCAAAAUCUUGUGCACUGGUUUGACGGCAUUGAUCAUACGCGUCUCAGACUGUCAGUAUUUCUUGCUGCUCUCUAAAUCCUCAUUUGGCUUCUCCCUGUGGACAACAACAGCACGAUUUCUCCUCCUUGCCGUAGCGGAGCGCGGUGCGAGCUGCAGACGGCUUCAGAAGCCUAACAACUUCCACAAGAGGUCCACACAGAUGCUGUCUGGGAGGCGGGGUUCAGAGCGUUCAUCCCGUCUGCGUGCGUCCAGCGGGUUCCGACGCCUCUGCAAACACCCGUGCUGUGAUACAGGCCCAUCCUGCUCAUCCUCCCGCCUGCGCUCCCCGGCGCUCGCUCCUAAAAGUGAAGCGCUAUUCUAGGAGCAAGGUAACAAUCAACAUGGCCAAGAUCGUUAGCCUCAGUUUUCCCCCCGGGCCAGACACAGAAAAUAACUUUCCCUUUUCCCUGGCAUCUGCAGAUACUGGGGUAAAUGAAGACAUACAGCCCCCAGGUUCACCGGCCCGCUCAAGGUAA
rnacentral:lncRNA from 1 species